UGGGGAAUAUUGCACAAUGGGCGCAAGCCUGAUGCAGCCAUGCCGCGUGUGUGAAGAAGGCCUUCGGGUUGUAAAGCACUUUCAGCGGGGAGGAAGGCGGUGAGGUUAAUAACCUCACCGAUUGACGUUACCCGCAGAAGAAGCACCGGCUAACUCCGUGCCAGCAGCCGCGGUAAUACGGAGGGUGCAAGCGUUAAUCGGAAUUACUGGGCGUAAAGCGCACGCAGGCGGUCUGUCAAGUCGGAUGUGAAAUCCCCGGGCUCAACCUGGGAACUGCAUUCGAAACUGGCAGGCUAGAGUCGUGUAGAGGGGGGUAGAAUUCCAGGUGUAGCGGUGAAAUGCGUAGAGAUCUGGGGGAAUACCGGUGGCGAAGGCGGCCCCCUGGACAAAGACUGACGCUCAGGUGCGAAAGCGUGGGGAGCAAACAGG
rnacentral:rRNA from 1 species